CCUACGGGGAGCAGCAGUGAGGAAUAUUGGUCAAUGGGCGGAAGCCUGAACCAGCCACGUCGCGUGAGGGAAUAAGGCCCUACGGGUCGUAAACCUCUUUUGCCGGGGAGCAAGGGCGGGGACGUGUCCCGGCCCGGAGAGUACCCGGAGAAAAAGCAUCGGCUAACUCCUUGCCAGCAGCCGCGGUACUACGGAGGAUGCUAGCUUUAUCCGGCUUUAUUGGGUUUAAAGGGUGCGUAGGCGGGCUUGUAAGUCAGCGGUAAAAAUUCGGGGCGAAACCCCGUACGGCCGUUGAUACUGGGGGCCUUGAGUGGGGGAGAAGAAGGCGGAAUGCGUGGUGUAGCGGUGAAAUGCAUAGAUAUCACGCAGAACCCCGAUUGCGAAGGCAGCCUUCCGG
rnacentral:rRNA from 1 species